GAGGGGAGCGAUUUGUGUUUGGUUGUUGCGCUCUCACGUUUGCUUUAUUGGCUUCCAUUUUGAUUCUGUUUGUUUAGUUACCGUGUGUUAAGUUGUUUCUCUUUUGCAUUUGUAAGAGCUUGAUUAUUGAACUGCAUUCGUGCUGUGACUCGACUCUUGGGGUUCCGAGUUGAAUUCUGUCCUACAUCAACACAUAGUGAUGGGACUAGCUGAGCAUGUCACGUGACGUACAUUUUGCAACACACAGGGUAACAUUUGUUUAAUCACACUAGUUAGGGAGCGGGGGGGUAUUCCAGAAAGCUUGGUUAACUUACCAUUUGAUAAAUCAUAACCUCUGGGUUGAUUUACCCCAAACAGGCAUACCAUGAGUAUGUCGGUUCCAAAACACCUGAGAAGAGUUAGUUUAAUCAACCUCCAACUGGUUACCCAGAGUUAGUGCGCGUGCACGGUGCAUGUAGAAAGACAUUUUCAAUGGAUCGCCGAUUUCACGAGUCACCAUGGAAACUCAAAGCGGAAAAAAGAGAGCGGCGUAUUUCACAGAGACAGAGUUGGAGGUUUUAAUGCAUGCUUAUGAGGAGUUAAAGCCAAUAAUAUUAAAAAGAAGCAAUACAGCUGCAUCAGCGAAAGCAAGAGAGUUGGCUUGGCAAAUAAUAACCGACAGAGUGAAUGCGUGUAAUCCUUCUGGAGCCACAAGAACUUUAAGCCAAGUCACAAAUGAAAUGAAACACAAAACCAUUCCGCAAAAGGUAAUAUUUGAUUACACAAUUACUGAACUAUUAUUAUAACAGGAUUUAGUAUAUUCAUUCAGUCAUGUAGCUAAUAGAAAGAAGACUGAAGGCUCCGUCUGAGGAGCUGGCUCUGUCUCUUAAUAAAGAGCAUCCAGGGGCCAGUUCAUCACACACAGCAUGCACCACAAGUGAUGAAAUACACUGAUGGACUCUCCAGAAAGAACACAGUCUGUCACAGACUUGAUGAAGAUGACGAUGAAUAGACUACAUCUGCUGUGACAGAAGUGGACAAUGCUGGUAGAUGCACUGAGAACAUACCUAGGGGUUUGCCCACAGAUGAGGGUCCUUCAACCUCAGCACACAAUCUAAGCAGGGUAACAAUUUGUGUCCAG